rfam:Erwinia sp. Leaf53 contig_12, whole genome shotgun sequence.
UUUUGCGUCUUCAGCCCGGUGGUCCCGCCUGACCCCAUGCCGGACUCAGAAGUGAAACGCCGUAGCGCCGAGGGUAGUGUGGGGCCUCCCCAUGCGAGAGCAGGACAAAAU